rnacentral:lncRNA from 1 species
UACAACUGCAUCUGCUGCCUUUACACGGGACUGCCAACCUGUUUUUCUCAACCUUCUGUUUUAUGGGUGUGCACACCCAUAAAUCCCCUGUGGCUGGGUUAAGGGAACAUACAAGCAGCUCUUCAGCAUUAAGAAUGUGAUGGGAGAGAUUCAGGUAGAUUUCAACUGUCAUCAUCAAUCAAGGCCAAGGAGAAGGCUGCUUUCCAGGAUGUACACGUGGCCUCUGUUUGCUGUUGCUGUUUUGCUUCUUUUAAGAG